ensembl:lncRNA
UCGCCUUCACUUAGCUCCAGAUCAGACCAGCGCUGCUCUUCCGGCGGAGUCUCUGUAGUUCCGCUCCAGGCCGGUGGGAGACGGAAGAGCGCGGCCGCUGCAGGUUUGGCGCGCCUCUGUCGCUUCCGCUUUCUCUCCGGAAGGAUCCGACAACGCUUUGACGCACGCCGUCAGUUGUGCUUACAAAAUCGCAAAUCUGGAUCUAAAAUCUGCACAAAGGGAUUUCACAAACGAGAGAUCAGUCGUUUCCAGCAGAGAACAGUGUUAGCAGGAGUCUGUAAUGUCGCGUUUUUUCGCCACCGGAUCCGACAGCGAGUCGGAGGAAUCUUCUUCCGCCGAUGAGAUCACCCCCAAAGCGACCGGGACUACUUUCAAUAAGCAGGAUCUGCUGCUGAGCGAUGAUGAGGAGGACACCAAGAGAGUGGUGCGCAGCGCCAAAGACAAGAGGUGAGCGCAGAACACACUCCGCCACGACUCCAGAACA